GGAGGAGGAGGAGGCAGCUGAGUAGGUGUUCUUACAGAGCUAACGUGCUCUAGAUGAGUGUGCUUGAGACACUCAGGGUGUUCUGUGGGAUACACUGUGGCAAAACAAAUGACUUGAAAGUGAUCACAGUAAGGACAGUGUGACUCAUAGGGUACAUCAUAAGGACGCUGUGUGAUGACAGAAGCCAGGAAGGAAUAACCCACCACUUCCCUCCCUACAGGAAGAAUCUCGCAGUGCCUAUGACUGCUUAACUCUACAGUUACUAUGAGUGGACUCAUUAUAAACAAGGAUCUUGAGGGAAGUGAAGUCGCUGUGCGUCCAGCCCCUAACGGCACCAAGCAUAGAACAUGUUCAAUACUGACCGCAGAGGGGGAAGCAAGUGGGGGUGCCAUGUACAGAAGUAAUGUAGAAAAGAGCAGUAAGAGAAGAAAAUGAAAGCAGACUGUAAAAGGGUUGCAAAGGUCCUAAGCAGUCGCUAGUGGAGGUCUGCAGUUUUGCCCUGGGUUUCCUAGCAACCAGAGCAAAAAAAGAAACACAAUCAGUUGUAGCAUUCACUGUGCCCAUAAGAUAAAAACAGAGCAGUUGCUCAGAAGAAUGCUUCCCUCAGUCUUAAGGGAACAUUCCUACAGUAAAUGUGGGCUCAUGUUCCAGACAGCUGGUGUUCAGUACAUCCUCAGGCAGGUGAGUGGCAUUUUGCCAAGUGUCACUCAGUAUACUUGAGUGGUCAAAGCAAUUUCAUGGAGAUAAGAACUCUCUGGGCACUUGGAAUCGGUUCAGAGGGAGAUUUUAUAAAAUCUGGGGACAGUGAUGUUGGAAGAUACUUUUCUAGCAGUUAAGUACAGGAGAGACACCGCCACCUACCUGACCAGGGCACUCUCCUGCUCCAGGUGUCACCUCCCCAACAGAGCAUGCUGAUUGCAAAGCUUUGAUGUCCUAAAGCACGGAAUUGUGGGUGCUUUGUUGUGCCGCAGUGGGCAGUGAUGAGGAGAUAGCGACAGGAGAGACCAGAGGAACCUAAUCCUGACCUAUCCAAGGCUUCCUGUGGGAGAAGACAAGAAGACCAGGGUCAGAGGCCACAGGAGCAGGGCUUGGCAUGCCUGUCCUCUUCCCUACAAGACUAGGAAAUGGCCUGAAGUAAUGGCUUCCUGUUUCCCAAUCAGGAUCUGUAAGAAUAUAGGUGAUCUGCCAAGGGAGUGCUUAGAGGAGGGUGUAGGGACCCCAGCCUAAAGUGCUGAAGUGUCCUAUCCCUUAGAACAAGGCCUGCUUGGUUCUAUGCGCAACGCUAAGCCUACUACUACUUCUCGGUAACAUUCUUUUAGAUCCUGCCUGCUUACACAAAACUCUCUGCUGACCUGUCAGCUAAAGAAGGCCUGCCCAGCAACCCACACACCUGCAAAGACACAAAAGUGUGCAUAUUGACCACCACAGUCCUCUAUUCAUAAAUAUAAGCAAAACCCAAGGAUUUCCAAAUACGUCAGGAAAACCAACAGCACAGAAGACAGGUCCAAAAAGAACCAACCAGGAGGCUGACCGUGGAGGAAACGGGCAACUUAAAGAAGAGUGUAGUCCAAAACUAGUUACCAUCUGCAGGGAUCUGAGGCAUCUUAAAAGCAGGAAGAGGUGGGAAAGGGACAAAAAAACAACAACAAAGCAGUUGGCCCAGGAAUUUCAGGAUGUAAGAAAAACAAAGGGCCAGAAGUAUUAAAGGGAGAGAAAACUAGAGCUCCAUCAACUGUGUGAUUAGGAAAAGACCAGACAUCCUCCCACAUCCCUUCCCAGUCUGAGACUAUAGACGUGUACUACCACGCCUGAGUGAACACUUACUUAAUUAAGUCCGUGAGUCCUUAAGACUGAAAAACCUCACUGGAUAGGAUUAGGAAAAAAUAAACUCCCCGUGUCCCUCAACCUGGUCUGCUCGCUUCUAUUCUCCACAGGCCUGUCCAUCACUAGCAUGCUGCACACUUUUCUUAUGCAUUACACAUAUCGGCUAUGCCCUGUCUCCCCCUACGAUUCUGCCAGCUCCAGGAAAACAGGAACUGCUGCCUGACUUAUUCACUAACAAACAUCUUUUUGUGCCUAGACUCAAAAAAUGCCAACAAAGAUUUAUUGAAUUAAAUUAAACCUGGGUGCAGAGAGCAAUGUCUUAUAACUCCAGUUAUAAGAAGAAAAUCAUGAAAACUUUGGUGUUUCCUUCAAGAGAAUGGAAAGCAGAGCUAUCACCGAACACAGAGAGCUUUAGGUCCUAGCAAACAGAGUCAGCAAGUUAGAGGACAUUGGUCCCAGAAUAAUGAACUCUGCCAAAACAGCUACUGUCAAGUGCUAAAGAGUACAUUUCCAAACAUGCUAUAACCCAGGAUAUUUACUAUCCAUACUCCCUAGGUAGGAAAAUGAAUCAACAAUACUGUUCAGUAAAAAUCAAAGGCGGUCCAAGAAAGAAGACAACAUGGAAACAAGAAACUGAAAUUCCAAGGAUUGAAGGAAGCCAGAACUUAAGGGACACUCAGAGAAUCUGCUUAGAGCAGCACAAUGUAAUGACAUGACUUUUCACAUUUAUAAAUGUCCUCUGGCUCUGCUCACACUGCGUCUGUUCCCCACGCUCCCCACAGAGGCAGUGGCCCUCCCCCUCACAGACAGCCUUUCCUGGAUGGCUGAACUGCAGAACUUCAUGAUGUUGAUUAAAGUGGUGGCCGAGAAUGGCUUACCUACAAAAAUAAGACUUUAACUGUGAAAUCAACAAACAGCCGGGUAACAAAGAUAGAGGCACGGCAAAUGCUUCCAAAUGGGUAGGUUGACUAUCAAAGGAUCAGUGGUGGAGGUGGGCUGUGGAAUAGCCCAGUGGAUACCACUUCUAUCAUUGACCAGCUUGGUAGCAAGGAUUUUGAAGAGUUGAUGGCUUUUGCUACUUUUUCACAGACUGUAUGUAAAGAUUGAAGUAUCAUGUCACAUCCCGUGUCCCUCUAGAUCCUGAUGUGUUCAAAGCUGGGUCCCCAACUGCAGGUGCUGUGGGAAGUGCCAUGAGGGCCACUUAACCAAUGAGCUACUCCACAGAUGACUUCAUACUGAAAGGGUUAUUGGGGUGGGGCCUGGCUGGAGAACGGAGUUACCUACGUGCAUCUUUAGGGUCAUAUUUUGCUUGGACCCUCUGGUUUCUCUCAGGGCCUCUAGUUAACCACAGGGGGAGCCACUUCCCUUCCCCGUGUGCUCCUGAUGGUCUGCCUCAGACCCACAAGCAACGGAACCCAGAGAUGAGGGACAGAAACCUGUGAACCUUAACAUUAAGUAGAUCUUCCUUCCCAGUAGAUUCAUGGUCUCGGGCACCCUGUCUGUGACGAAAGCUGUUUCACACACCCCAUGGCGGGAUCUUGAAUAACAAAAAAAUCAGACAAUAUGAAUUCUGGGUGUUGGGUAUUAGCUGUCUGUCACAUAUGUUCUUCCUUCAGGAGUUCACCAUAUCCUUGAUCCUCGUGUAGGUCAGCCUGGCCUAUAGUCAGGAAGUAGAAAGGAGAAGUGAGAAAGAGAACACAGCCGGAGAUGAGCAAACUACCCCACUCAGUGCUGGAGAGCUGAGUGAACUCUACCCUAGUUGUCAGAUUUAACGCAAUGUCCCCAAAGGACUUUUCUGCAUUGACUGGACACUUCCUGUACCAGGCAUUAUGGGUGAGCAAACAGAGCUUGGAGAUUUAAACCCUUGUGGGAGUUCAUCUACACUAAACAGAACAGCAGAGCACCAGUGCUUGGAGGCUUCCUACCACCGGCUUGUGGCUGACUGGACCGUGGUGCCAGAUCAAGGGACAGGAGUGUCAUCAAGUGACUCCGUCUGUAAACACAAUGGCUAGCGUGCUGUACAGUUCUGUUGUGGCUAUUGAGACCACAGGCGAAGCUGAUAGCCUGACUGCCUUCCCACUUCAUAGCUAGAAUUUUGGCUGAACUUAAAUCUGUUUACAUGUAUUUGUUGUAUGUGCGUGUGCGUGAUGUGUCUCUUGCAUGAAGGCAUAGGUCCGAGGGCAACUUCAGAGUUAGCUCUCUUCUUCUAACAUGUGGAUUCUGGGGAUCAAAUUCAUGUCCUCAGGCUGAAGGGAAAGUACCUUUGCUUACUGAGCCAUCCUUAUGGUGUGCGCCAGUUGACUUUUGUCAAUUUGACACAAACCUAGACAUAUCUGGGAAGAGGAACCUCCAUUGAGAAAAUGCCUCCCUCCAUCAGAUUGCCUAUAGGCAAGUCUGUCUGGCGGGGGGUUUUAUUACUAAUUGGUGUGAGAGGAUUCAGCUCUCUGUGGGUGAUGCCACCUCUGAUUAGUUUGUUCUGCAUGGUUUAAGAAAGUAGGCCAAGCAAGCCAUAAGUGAAUACACCAAUAACCAGCAUUCAAGAUGCUGUGAAAAACUAUAAAACACGUGCUACAAAGCCCAGGCAAAGGCAGUUGCAGACCACAAGGUCAAACUUCAUGCCCAAGGAGGUCAACACAGAACGGAAAAGACUCAGAGGCCUUGACAGUUAGAUCACCAGCCAGCAGCCCUAGAGCUACACACAGGGGUGGAUGGCAGAGCCAGACAAUGCCAGCUUGGGGCGCAUGAGGCAUGGGAGGAGAUGAAGAUGCUUAGACAGGAAGGAAGAGGAAACAUGAAAGGAAGCUGAGGCAGGGUUGAGGAAACUUCCCAUGAUGGGCAAUGGCCAUAUACUUAUAGAUAUCUGGAAGAAAGAACUAUGGGAUAGGCAUGUUAAUGCCUAGUCAAUGUCACCAGAAGGAGCAUGCACAGAGUAGUUCUGGAUGGUGGGAUGAAUUCAAGUGCAAAGACAGGAAAAUUAGUCUUGAAAAGAAAGCGGAUUUCUGCAGCUGGCAGGCAAGGGUCAAGCAACUUCUUACACUUCGGCCGUCUACUUCCCAAGGGCUAGGGAGUAAGUAGAGAUGGGCAGAGCUAACAAGACGUGCUCACAUAAUCAGCAUCUAUAUUUAUUUCCCUGUAACCCGAGAGGCAGCAAAUGCAGGAGAAGUGGACUCUGAAACCCAACCUGCUGCUUUGUAUUUCACUUCUGGCCGGGACGUGUUUUUCGUGGAAGGUCAUAUUUAAAUCCCGCAGCAGAAUCACAGCAACUGUGCUCAGAACACAUGGCCCAGCUCCUCCAUGCCGUAAGCCCUAAGGUUACUUUUAUUAUCACAAAAAUCCUGAGACAUCUAACAAUAAUAGUGCAACUGAACGGUGACAGGAGAUUAAAAGUGGCAAGGUGGCCGUGAUGAGAGCAAAUGCAAACCUGGGAAGUUGAAGAAACGAGACACUGUAAGGGAAACGAAAUUAAAGUCAAAGUAAGUUCGUGUAGAGUGGGCCUUAGGAAAUACGUAGCACAGAAAUGAGCAGUGAGAACCUAAGCCUUGUGGCCCUGGCUUGUGAUGCUGAGGAUGUGAAGACAGAGGGUCAAGGGUUCAAAGCUAGCCUAGGAUACAUAGGAAGAAUCUAUAAAACAAACAAACAAGAAGCCAAACAAAAAGAAAUCAGCAGUUAGUAUUCAAACUGACUCAUUUUUGAGUAAUUUCUCGCAUUUUGUAGCAAGGAAAAUGGGGGGUGGGAAGGUGAGGUAAACCGGUCACGUCAUAAAUUGUGGCCCCGAUGCAAUUCAAAACCAGGCGAAUUGAGUUCAGAAUCCUUUCUCUCAUCUGUCCCUACCCUAUGCCAGCAGCUCUUACACUGUGCUCAAGAAGCUUAACACUUUUGGUCUCAGGAUCUUAGAAAAUAUAAUGGUUUUUAUGAUGAAAAAUCCUCAGCUAACUAGGAAUAAGCAAAAAGGUUACUACCCUCAACAUGGAAAGAGCAGCAGCGAGCAAACCAUAGUUAGCUUUAUACUCAAUGGGGAAAGACAUUGCUGUGACGAUGCGGCCAUUAGAAGGGAGGGUGGUCUGCCUGCGAUGUCUGUGGUUGAUCUGUCUGUCUGGCAGAGUGUCCUCUUUCUCUCUCACUAUCCCACGCACGCACAUCCCUCUUAAGGCUGUGCACUGAGAGGAUGUCCUUCCCUACAGGGAGAACUACUCAGUGGCCAAGGCUAUGUAGGUACCAGGCUCCCCUUUCAGAUCCUCCAAAGCCGCUCUCGGGAUCAGGAACACAAUAGGCUCAUUCUCACCUCCCCUGGUCAGCACUGCUCUAGGACUCCAAGACAGAGCAGUCAGGAUAAAAGAAAAGAAAGAGAACAAACAUCUAAAGUGGGAAGUCUGAAAUGAAACUGUUUCUAGUCACAGAUUAUCUGAUUCUAUACAGAGAAAGUACCAAAGGAUAUAUGCACAAGAGCCAUUAGAAUUAAUUGCUGGAUUUGGCAGUUUGGCAGAUAUAAGAUCAAAACCCGGAAAUCUGUUGUAUGAUCAAUGGACCAUUCAAAUAUACUUUUAAAAAAUUCCAUUCCUAAUAGCAUCAAAAAGAAUACUUUGAAAUAAGGUUAAUAAAGGAGAAAUAAGUUUUGUUGUGUGUGUGUGUAUGAGUGUGCACAUUCAUAUGUGUGCAGAUGCAUAUGAACAUGUGUGCACUUGCAUGUGGAGCUCAGAGGACAAACAUGAUUCCUCCAGUGCCAUCUAUAAUUGUUUUUAAAACAAAAACAAAAACAAAAACAGAGUCUGUC